rnacentral:rRNA from 1 species
CCCUCUAGAGAUAGAGUUUUCCCCUUCGGGGGACAGAGUGACAGGUGGUGCAUGGUUGUCGUCAGCUCGUGUCGUGAGAUGUUGGGUUAAGUCCCGCAACGAGCGCAACCCUUAAGCUUAGUUGCCAUCAUUAAGUUGGGCACUCUAAGUUGACUGCCGGUGACAAACCGGAGGAAGGUGGGGAUGACGUCAAAUCAUCAUGCCCCUUAUGAUUUGGGCUACACACGUGCUACAAUGGACAAUACAAAGGGCAGCGAAACCGCGAGGUCAAGCAAAUCCCAUAAAGUUGUUCUCAGUUCGGAUUGUAGUCUGCAACUCGACUAUAUGAAGCUGGAAUCGCUAGUAAUCGUAGAUCAGCAUGCUACGGUGAAUACGUUCCCGGGUCUUGUACACACCGCCCGUCACACCACGAGAGUUUGUAACACCCGAAGCCGGUGGAGUAACCAUUUGGAGCUAGCCGUCGAAGGUGGGACAAAUGAUUGGGGUGAAGUCGUAACAAGGUAGCCGUAUCGGAAGGUGCGGCUGGAUCACCUCCUUUCUAAGGA